AGAGGAGCUCCAGGCUUGGAGGGAGGUAUGGGGACGGUUUUAGGGCUUCCGUCGUCAGGGCGUGAGCCACCGCGCCCGGGCCCAGAUUCGAGUUUUGAUUAUCGUUUCCACUCCCUUUUCUUCCCCCAACAAGUCCUCCUGAUAAUUUCCAGCCACCCCCUCCCCAAUUUUCUUGAAGGUUUUCAGUCUCCCAUAGCAACUCCAGUGGGUGGCUUCCAGGCACCCCACCCCAAGACUUGGAACUGGUUUCCAAGCUACCCAAGACUCCCGAACAACACGCAAC
rnacentral:lncRNA from 1 species